AAUUGGUGUAAUGGUAGCACACCGGAUUGUGGUUCCGUUUGUAUGGGUUCGAAUCCCUUAUU
rnacentral:tRNA from 1 species